AUUCUGCACCUUUCUCCCUUUCCUCCCUCUUUGCACAAGCCUUUUCCCCUUUUCUCUUUAACCCUAAAAUAGACAUCUCCGUCACAAUCAUGCAGCGUCUGGUUACCACAAUGAGGAGGAGGCAACGUUCAAGAAGGCUCCCAGUUCCGAUAACUUGACGGCUGCUAUUGGAGAUGUGUAUACGGACGAAAUAUUGGGUUGCACCGAAACUUUGAGGAGUUUAAGGUCCUAUCGGGGAAAUCGCAAGGGAGUCGCGAUCGAUGCUGGAGGCCAUCGAAGUCGUGGCGCAUGCAGCACUCCCUACCUACGUCGACGACGCCUAUGACUGGCUUGUGAACGUGAAAGAUGAUGUUCUGGAGCGGUUUGAUGCAUCCGUGGACGAGUUCCAGAGACAUCGGGAGGAGGAAAAAACUGGGCAUUCGGCGAAGCACCCGAUGGAGGAUGGGUUUCAACUGGUUUCUAGGAAGAAGAAAGGGGUAAGAGGGAUUGUGAUUCGAGGGACGGUUUCUAAAACGAGUCUAUGUGGCAAAUAAGGAUAAGAAGACGACCUAAGCCCAAGGUUUCGUUUCAUAUUCCAACGGACGUGGACCACGAUCAACCUUCCGCUGCGGCGACGAAGACCCAAGCGCUGCAGACCCUAGCAGCGGGUCCUCUCUCCUCGUCGAUGGCAAAGCUUGCCACGUGAAAUGUUUUGAAACAUGUAUGUCCACUCUCCUUUCAUAUUUUCUCCAAUUCUCUCUACUUAUUGUGUGAAAUGUUUGUGGAAUAGGUAUGUUGAGUGCACAUCAUCAGCAAUGCAGGGAUUGACUCUGUUUAGAAAUUUAUAUCCAAAACAUAGAAGAAAGGAAAUCUAUUAUUGCAUUUCUAAAGCAAUCCAUUACAUUGAAAAAGCACAAAAUCCUGAUGGAUAAUGGAGCAUAAAGAAACUAGAAAAGGACAUACCUAUGCCACCACUUAUAAAGAGGGAUGCGGAUGCUCUUUGGGUGAGUUUUCCAAUUUUAGUCAAUAGAGGGCGGGUUCCACACAGUUGGAAAGACAAAUUUUUAGAGGCUUGACAAGAUCAAAAUUUUUAUGGUGUUGUUAUUUUAGCAGAUGCAAAGGGUAAGAGUAUAUUGAAUUUGGCUAUGAGCUUGGACAUCUAUGUUCCAAGGGAUGAAAGAUUUGGGCACUUGAAAUUGUCAGACUUUCUUGCUAAUGCAUUGAAGUCCAUAGUUCAAGUUAUUAAACCUGAGCUGGAAUCUCUAUUUGACGGCACCCCAUUGAGUUUGAUAGCUUAAAAUAUGUGUUUAAGAUCAAGGUACCUUAAGAAUGUUAGAGGUAAAAUCCCUGCAGAACUGCUCAAAGAAAUUCUCCGAAUUGGUGGAGCCUGUAGAGUUGCUCAAAGAAAUUCUCCGAACUAUUGGAGCCUACAAACAAUGACUUAUUGGGCAUGCUAUUGGAAUCAAAUUGUAUUUUAAAUUAUCAAUAGAUGUAUAUUUAUAUUUACAUUGUAAUUUUCAAUGAAUGAAUGUAUCUUAUUUUAAAUCAUCAAUAAAAUUAAUUUUGAUAA